rnacentral:rRNA from 1 species
ACUGCUCAGUAACACGUGGACAACUACCCUACGGAGGGGGAUAACCCCGGGAAACUGGGGAUAAUACCCCAUAGACUAUGGAUGCUGGAAUGCUCUGUAGCCGAAAGGUCCGCCGCCGUAGGAUGGGUCUGCGGCCGAUUAGGUUGUUGUUGGGGUAACGGCCCAACAAGCCUGUAAUCGGUACGGGUUGUGGGAGCAAGAGCCCGGAGAUGGAUUCUGAGACACGAAUCCAGGCCCUACGGGGCGCAGCAGGCGCGAAAACUUUACAAUGCGGGAAACCGUGAUAAGGGAACUCUGAGUGCCCGUAAAAUCGGGCUGUCCAUCAGUUUAAAUAACUGGUGAAGAAAGGGCCGGGCAAGACCGGUGCCAGCCGCCGCGGUAAUACCGGCGGCUCGAGUGGUGGCCACUAUUACUGGGCUUAAAGCGUUCGUAGCUGGUUUGUUAAGUCUCUGGGGAAAUCUUCCGGCUUAACCGGAAGGCGUCUCAGGGAUACUGGCAGACUAGGGACCGGAAGAGGUGAGAGGUACUCCAGGGGUAGGAGUGAAAUCCUGUAAUCCUUGGGGGACCACCUGUGGCGAAGGCGUCUCACCAGAACGGCUCCGACAGUGAGGGACGAAAGCUGGGGGAGCAAACCGGAUUAGAUACCCGGGUAGUCCCAGCUGUAAACGAUGCGCGUUAGGUGUAUCGGUGACCACGAGUCACCGAGGUGCCGAAGAGAAAUCGUGAAACGUGCCGCCUGGGAAGUACGGUCGCAAGGCUGAAACUUAAAGGUAAUUGGCGGGGGAGCA